rnacentral:rRNA from 1 species
GAGAGGACGACCAGCCUCACUGGAACUGAGACACGGUCCAGACACCUACGGGUGGCAGCAGUCGAGAAUUUUUCUCAAUGGGGGAAACCCUGAAGGAGCGACGCCGCGUGGGGGAUGAAUGGCUUCGGCCCGUAAACCCCUGUCAUUUGCGAUCAAAACCUUACGACCUAACACGUCGUAAGCUGAUAGUAGCGGAAGAGGAAGGGACGGCUAACUCUGUGCCAGCAGCCGCGGUAAUACAGAGGUCCCAAGCGUUGUUCGGAUUCACUGGGCGUAAAGGGUGCGUAGGCGGUCGGGUAAGUCUGACGUGAAAUCUUCAAGCUCAACUUGGAAACUGCGUCGGAUACUAUUCGGCUAGAGGAGUGGAGGGGAGACUGGAAUACUUGGUGUAGCAGUGAAAUGCGUAGAUAUCAAGUGGAACACCAGUGGCGAAGGCGAGUCUCUGGACAUUUCCUGACGCUGAGGCACGAAAGCCAGGGGAGACGAAACGGGAUUA